CCGGGUUGUGUGGGGUCCGCAGUGGUCCCCGUGGGGUGGGGGGCGCGCUGCCAGCCGUGGUGGUGAUGGUGACGUCACAUUUGACCAUCCAGAAGCAGCUGAGUCAGUGUGCUAGAGCAUUCAUGCUCCCAGCAAGACAGCCGCAGGCAGAUGUGUCUCCGGUUGAAUGCCCCGGUUCCAGGAGUCAGCUCUUUCCUGAGCAAAAGCAAGGACAGAGAACUGAGUCACAGGCUCUACUUGCUGGCAGACCAAGGGUGACCACGACAACUGCAGGAACUUGGUAGAUCCUCAGAGACAGGGACUGUGAUCAGGAGCCUGCUGAUAGGAGGGCUCUUCCUAUUCCUGCCCAGCUGGCGACUAGCCUGCUUUCUAGGUGACUGAUAGGUAAGAGGAAAUAAUUCUGUACUAAUAGCUCUGGGACAAAUGCCAACUUGCCAGUGAGACAGGAGGUUAAACAUUGAGUGGAUAACACAAAAUCACAUUUAGGGCACUUCGUGUUCACAUGGCAGUCCAAGGAGUGCCAGGACCAACUUGAGCACUGAUGUGGCAUUCCUGGAAGGACAGAGCUUAUGUGCCAGUCUUAUUUGAAACAUAACUGGCUUCCCAGCAAACAUAUUCCAACAAGCGCAGUGAAACAACCAGUGUUACCAGUACACUUGGUAACUUGAGCAAAUUGG